rnacentral:rRNA from 1 species
CAGCAGCCGCGGUAAAACGUAGGGUGCGAGCGUUAAUCGGAAUUACUGGGCGUAAAGCGUGCGCAGGCGGUUUUGUAAGACAGGCGUGAAAUCCCCGGGCUCAACCUGGGAAUGGCGCUUGUGACUGCAAAGCUAGAGUGCGGCAGAGGGGGAUGGAAUUCCGCGUGUAGCAGUGAAAUGCGUAGAUAUGCGGAGGAACACCGAUGGCGAAGGCAAUCCCCUGGGCCUGCACUGACGCUCAUGCACGAAAGCGUGGGGAGCGAACAGGAUUAGAUACCCCCGUAGUCCCUGUCUCUUAUAC